rfam:Hordeum vulgare subsp. vulgare, WGS project CAJW01000000 data, contig: morex_contig_62812
CAACUACUUCCUCCGUCCCAAAAUUCUUGUCCUAAAUUUGUUUAGAAAUGGAUGUAUGUAAAUACUAAAACGUGAUUAGAUACAUUCAUAUCUAGACAAAUUUAAAAUAAGAAUUUUGAAACGAAGGGAGUAUUAA